AGAGUUUGAUCAUGGCUCAGAAUGAACGUUGGCGGCGUGGAUUAGGCAUGCAAGUCGAGCGGGUAUAGCAAUAUACCAGCGGCGAAAGGGAUAGUAACGCGUAGUUACCAACCCCCGGGACUGGGAUAGCUUUUUGGAAACGAAAGGUAAUACCAGAUAACAUCUCCGGAUCAAAGGUGGGAUUCCGCCUGGGGACGGGACUGCGUCCUAUUAGUUAGUUGGUGAGGUAAUGGCUCACCAAGACGACGAUGGGUAGCGGGCGUGAGAGCGUGACCCGCAUCAUUGGGACUGAGACACUGCCCAGACACCUACGGGUGGCUGCAGUCGAGAAUCUUCGGCAAUGGACGAAAGUCUGACCGAGCGACGCCGCCGUGCGGGAUGAAGGUCUUCGGAUUGUAAACCGCUGUCAAGUUGGAGGAAGUAUCCAGAGGUAAUCCUUUGGAUUUGACCGAGAGCAAAAGGAAGGACGGGCUAAGUUCGUGCCAGCCGCCGC
rnacentral:rRNA from 1 species